GCAGUCGAGCGGUAGAGAGAAGCUUGCUUCUCUUGAGAGCGGCGGACGGGUGAGUAAUGCCUAGGAAUCUGCCUGGUAGUGGGGGAUAACGUUCGGAAACGGACGCUAAUACCGCAUACGUCCUACGGGAGAAAGCAGGGGACCUUCGGGCCUUGCGCUAUCAGAUGAGCCUAGGUCGGAUUAGCUAGUUGGUGAGGUAAUGGCUCACCAAGGCGACGAUCCGUAACUGGUCUGAGAGGAUGAUCAGUCACACUGGAACUGAGACACGGUCCAGACUCCUACGGGAGGCAGCAGUGGGGAAUAUUGGACAAUGGGCGAAAGCCUGAUCCAGCCAUGCCGCGUGUGUGAAGAAGGUCUUCGGAUUGUAAAGCACUUUAAGUUGGGAGGAAGGGCAUUAACCUAAUACGUUAGUGUUUUGACGUUACCGACAGAAUAAGCACCGGCUAACUCUGUGCCAGCAGCCGCGGUAAUACAGAGGGUGCAAGCGUUAAUCGGAAUUACUGGGCGUAAAGCGCGCGUAGGUGGUUUGUUAAGUUGGAAUGUGAAAUCCCCGGGCUCAACCUGGGAACUGCAUUCAAAACUGACUGACUAGAGUAU
rnacentral:rRNA from 1 species